CCUACGGGGGGCAGCAGUGAGGAAUAUUGGACAAUGGGUGAGAGCCUGAUCCAGCCAUCCCGCGUGCAGGAAGACGGCCCUAUGGGUUGUAAACUGCUUUUGUAUGGGAAUAAACCACCUUACGAGUAGGGUGUUGAAGGUACCAUACGAAUAAGCACCGGCUAACUCCGUGCCAGCAGCCGCGGUAAUACGGAGGGUGCAAGCGUUAUCCGGAUUCAUUGGGUUUAAAGGGUCCGCAGGCGGGCUUGUAAGUCAGGGGUGAAAGCCGGCAGCUUAACUGUCGAACUGCCUUUGAUACUGCAAGUCUUGAGUGAGGUUGAAGUAGCUGGAAUGUGUAGUGUAGCGGUGAAAUGCUUAGAUAUUACACAGAACACCGAUAGCGAAGGCAGGUUACUAAGUCUU
rnacentral:rRNA from 1 species